GACGAACGCUGGCGGCGUGCUUAACACAUGCAAGUCGAACGGAAAGGCCCUGCUUGCAGGGUACUCGAGUGGCGAACGGGUGAGUAACACGUGGGUGAUCUGCCCUGCACUUCGGGAUAAGCCUGGGAAACUGGGUCUAAUACCGGAUAGGAGCCAUUUUUAGUGUGAUGGUUGGAAAGUUUUUUCGGUGUAGGAUGAGCUCGCGGCCUAUCAGCUUGUUGGUGGGGUAAUGGCCUACCAAGGCGGCGACGGGUAGCCGGCCUGGGAGGGUGGACGGCCACAUUUGGACUGAGAUACGGCCCAGACUCCUACGGGAGGCAGCAGGGGGGAAUAUUGCACAAUGGGGGCAAGCCUGAUGCAGCGACGCCGCGUGGGGGAUGACGGCCUUCGGGUUGUAAACUCGUUUCGCUAGGGACGAAGCUUUUUGUGACGGUACCUAGAUAAGAAGCACCGGCUAACUACGUG
rnacentral:rRNA from 1 species